UCGGUCUGUUCGUUUCUCCAAUUUCCACCUCUCGCCUGUUCGGCCUUGGCGCCUCGGCCGCCGCACGCCAGCGCUCACUCCCAGCAGUAACGUCGGAAAGCAGCCCGCUGCAGAUCGAGGAUAUGGAGUAGUAUUAAUCAAGAACUCGGUCAUCAGAUCCAGAUAAUGAUACAGGCACACGAAGGUCACCCAUUAUUUUGCAGAGGAUAGGCUCCAAAAAAACCAAAAUAAAGCUAUAUAGAAUGUAGUUCUUGAGAAUGCUCCAAAAAACUGUAGGUGGGUAUGUGGAGAUAUUUAAGAAAAAUUCAAAUUAUUUUGCAAUGGUAACAUCAAACAACUUGUCACAUUUUCAACGUUCCAGGAAGAUAAAAAGCUACACCUGAAGCUACAAAGUUAUUUGAUACUACUCAUAAUAUGUAAACAAGUGAUUUUAUAAUAUUAUUAAACCGGUAUUCUUGCA